ACCCUACUGAUGCCCGCG
rnacentral:snRNA from 1 species